GAACCUGUUUUCCCCUUCCCAGCAAUCUCCAUCCUUUAAGGAGUGCAAGCCAGCCAGCCCACUCUCGUUCAGAACCCUGUAUGAGACAUCUCCUUCACAAUGAAAGGACCAGAUGCCAUCCAUGCAAUGGAGGACCUGAAAAUUGUUUUCAAGUCCAUUUGAAAGUUGGGGAAUGGACAAGAUUCCAGGAAUAGCAGAUGGCGGCCUCCUGGAUUUCCGGCUGAAGCAAUGAGGUGGUGAGGGACAAAGUGGGCUCGGAGGCUGCGUGCCUUUAGAGAUUUUUCCCCGAGUCAAACCCGGAUGGACUUGCGAGCGAUAAUUAUGAGGCUGACUUGCAUGUUUUCCUUCAUCCUGCUGUUUGGAGUGGCUGGCCUUGUCAUCUUCAUUCACCUGCAGGAUCCGGCUGACAUAAUUCACCAGCAGACACCAGUGGAGGUACGAUUACCACAGCCCAAUUUAAUGAACCAAGGAACAGAGGACUACCUUGAGCUGCAACAAACUCCAUGCCAAAACAGCUUCUCUCCACAGCUGAGUUUCAGCCGAUACCAUCCGUAA
rnacentral:lncRNA from 1 species